GAGGCCGUAGCUCAGUGGCAGAGCGCCGGGCUUAUGCCCGGAGGUCGGGGGUUCGAUUCCCUCAGGCUUCUCCA
rnacentral:tRNA from 1 species